UGAGGUAUAUUGGGCAAUAGGGGAAACCCUGACCCAGCGACGCCGCGUGACUGAAGAAGGCCCUAGGGUUGUAAAGGUCUUUUACUUGUGAUGAUGAUGACAGUAACAAGAGAAAAAGCUCCGGCUAACUUCGUGCCAGCAGCCGCGGUAAUACGGGGGGAGCAAGUGUUGUUCGGAAUGAUUGGGCGUAAAGGGUGCGUAGGCUGCUGUAUAAGUGAGGCGUGAAAUCCUCGGGCUCAACCCGAGAAGUGCGUCUCAUACUGUAUGGCUUGAGUCUGGUAGAGGAGACAGGAAUUCCUAGUGUAGAGGUGAAAUUCACAGAUAUUAGGAGGAACACCAAGGGCGAAGGCAAGUCUCUAGGCCAGUACUGACGCUGAGGCACGAAAGCGUGGGGAGCGAACA
rnacentral:rRNA from 1 species